AGAGAGAGACAUGCGCGCAUAUCAAUAAGCGGAGGAAAAGAAACUAACUAAGGAUUCCCUCAGUAGCAGCGAGUGAAGCGGGAAGAGCUCAAAUUUGAAAUCUUCAAGGUUCUACCUUGACGAAUUGUAGUUUAUAGAAGUGUUUUCUGUUAGAGUUUCGGUAAAAGUUCUUUGGAAUAGGACAUCAUAGAGGGUGAGAAUCCCGUAUUUGGUCAUUCCUCCUAGCGUUGUGAUACGCUUUCAACGAGUCGGAUUGUUUGGGAAUGCAGUCCAAAAUGGGUGGUAAAUUUCAUCUAAAGCUAAAUAUUGGCGAGAGACCGUUAGCGAACAAGUACCGUGAGGGAAAGAUGAAAAGAACUUUGAAAAGAGAGUUAAACAGUACGUGAAAUUGUCAAAAGGGAAGCGUUUGACACCAGUGUUGUUUCUCCGAAAAUCAAUUACGAAUGUUUUAUUUUUGAGGAGUUAUGACUUCAUCGGCUUGCUCCUUUCUUUAUGAAACUUUCUUAAUGCACUUUUCGGUUAACAAGUCAACAUCAAUUUCUUUUGUUGUAAAAGGGUAUGAGGAAGGUGGCUUUCUUUUCGGAGAAAGUGUUUAUAGCCUUGUGCCUCUGCAAUCGGAGAGAUUGAGGUCUGCAGCGUAGAUCCUUCGGGGUUAGAUACGUUUGUGCUAAGUUAUAGCUUUUCAUAGACAACUUGUUGACUAUGUUUAGUCUUGUAGCUUACUCGCUGACGCUAUUUUACCUACGCUUAGGAUGUUGAUAGUCACAGCGUGUAC
rnacentral:rRNA from 1 species